rnacentral:lncRNA from 1 species
AUUCUUUUGGGGACAGCAAUGUGCUGCGUGCACUAUCACCACUCUCCAGUAACCACGUUAUCAACUGGUUAUCAAGGGCCCAUGUAUGUGGCAAGAAGGCUAUGCUGGGCAUUGACUAAGGCUGCUUUAGCUUUCAUGAAACACUGUGGACCCUCCAGCUGACUGUGCGUCCUGCUCUGCUUUCAUUUUUUUAUAAGCACUUUGCCAGCAUAUACAAUGCAGCGGAGGAGCCAAGAUUGCCGACAGUUUGAACGAAUAAGACUUUCUGCUCAAAGGAUCCCCGGCCCUGGCAUACAGACAUUAAAUAUUUACUAAGGAAAUGAAUAAGCAGAAGAAAGAAGAGAAGAAAGGAAAGAAGGAAGGAAAUAGAUGUUUAUCUUAUUUGAAGUUAAUAAAAUAUUAAAAAG